rnacentral:rRNA from 1 species
AUAUCAAUAAGCGGAGGAAAAGAAACCAACAGGGAUUGCCCUAGUAACGGCGAGUGAAGCGGCAACAGCUCAAAUUUGAAAUCUGGCCCUCGGGUCCGAAUUGUAAUUUGUAGAGGAUGCUUUUGGUGAGGUACCUUCCGAGUUCCCUGGAACGGGACGCCAUAGAGGGUGAGAGCCCCGUCUGGUUGGAUACCGAUCCUCUGUAAAGCUCCUUCGACGAGUCGAGUAGUUUGGGAAUGCUGCUCUAAAUGGGAGGUAUAUGUCUUCUAAAGCUAAAUAUUGGCCAGAGACCGAUAGCGCACAAGUAGAGUGAUCGAAAGAUGAAAAGCACUUUGAAAAGAGAGUUAAAAAGUAC